rnacentral:rRNA from 1 species
GACGAACGCUGGCGGCGUGCCUAAUACAUGCAAGUUGAACGCUUGAUUUUCACCGAAGCUUGCUUCACCGAAAAUCAAGAGUAGCGAACGGGUGAGUAACGCGUGGGUAACCUACCUAUCAGCGGGGGAUAACUAUUGGAAACGAUAGCUAAUACCGCAUAACAAUGUUGGAUGCAUAUUCGACAUUUGAAAGUACCAACUGGUACACUGAGAGAUGGACCCGCGUUGUAUUAGCUAGUUGGUAGUGUAAUGGACUACCAAGGCGAUGAUACAUAGCCGACCUGAGAGGGUGAUCGGCCACAUUGGGACUGAGACACGGCCCAAACUCCUACGGGAGGCAGCAGUAGGGAAUCUUCGGCAAUGGACGAAAGUCUGACCGAGCGAACGCCGCGUGAGUGAAGAAGGUUUACGGAUCGUAAAACUCUGUUGUUAGAGAAGAACGUUGCAUAGAGUGGAAAUUAUAGCAAGUAGACGGUAUCUAACCAGAAAGGGAACGG